CUCGGUGCAAUGGUUAACAGUGUUAGUUUCAGCAGGUAGGUGGACUGGAGCAAUGAAGACAGAAGGGAGUGGAAUGUACUAGCUGGUAAAUUAUUUACAUUUUGCUCCGUACCAUGGGUCAUUCUUACCUAAUGAAAUAUGUAAAAAGUGUACAUAUAGGCAAGAACUGGACCAUGGUAUGGAAGAUGACAAUUGUCUUGCUAGUUACAUUGGAGAGAUGGGGAACGGAUUGCUAUUCCUUUAUCUCUUGUCAUAAUGUUGUUUGCACAAAGGAUACAAUUUUGUUAUAUAUAUUUUUUAGUUUAAAAGGAAAAAACAAGCCUGACCCUGAAGUGUAGUGGCAGUUGGCUCUGAGGAUGCCUUCAAGACGGGAAGUCUUAGGCAUCAGAGACUCCCUGAGACAUCUUUUCUCCCCUUGGAGCGGUGCUAGAGCCUGUGCACACCACUGGGAAUAAGAUUCAUUUCUGACCGGGGUGGCCUCCUUCACAAGCUCCUGGAGAAACAAACAGGCACUUACUGUAAACAACAUGUGGUUCAAGUUUCAAAAUUGUCCUCCCGAAAGGUUGGACCAACAUACACUCCCAGCAGAGGUAUACACGUGCUCUGUGUAUCAACAUGAUUGCUGAAAAACAGUAUCUUGUUUCACUUAUCUUUUUCAUCACUAAUAAAACUACACUUUUUA